GCGGGGAUUAACCGUUUCUGCGUGGUUUGGUGUAACCUGAUUCCCAGCUCCCCUGUCGCCCCCGCCACGCCGCUCGCCAUGGAAACCCCCCGCUUCCCACCCCGGCUCGGCCCUUACGCGAGGGGCCGCGCAAAGCCUGCAGUGCGCGGGGUGAACUGCGGGCAACAGAUUAACAUAUAUUACACUAUUAACAUACACAUAGAAAAAGAAGGCAAGAGGGAAGAGAGCAGAUGCAGGAUCAGGAGGCACUGCUAUAGAGGUGAUUGAAGGCUGAUCAAGAUAACAAAGUCAAGGAAAACAAGAGCGGAUGAAGACAGGAUAUAACUCCAAAAGCUAAAAAGUUUCUACAGGACCAUCAAGAGGAACACACAACAUAGAUGCUUAUCACGAUUGCAGCAAGUGAAAACAUAAUUCCUGCAGUAUUCAUAACCUAGUUACAUCUCAUAAAAGAGCCACAUGGAGUGGAAACAACUGAGAAGACAACUGGAUACUGAGAGGCCAGAAAAUGAACUUUCUUAAUGAAGAAGCUCUUGCUCUGGAAAUGGCCAUGUCUCAUGAGGAAGGAGACACGAGCACAUAUCAUGGUUCCCCAGCUGCCGGGGGAGAGGAGCACAGAAGCAGAACAAACCAAUGGUCCAGGCUGUCCUAGAGAGAGCACUAGCAAAACCCAAUAGUAGUGAAGUUGAAUUUUUGAAAGUCAGAUUUUUAUGGGGCACAAAACCAAACAUGUCUUUCUGAACGUAUGGAACAUCCAGGGUCUAAGAAGCAAUAAAAAUAAAUGCAAUAUUCAAGGUCACUGCUAACAGCUGUAGGGAAACUACUGUUCUGAGGAAAAACAUUUUCCUCAGUUUAUAAGGGUUCUUAUGGGCACAGCUCUGCGGUUACAUUGUGCUUAUGACUUUCAGACUCUCAGACACACAAAUAACAUGGCAUGUUAUGCACUGUAAGGUAAAGUGUUUGAAAGGGAAGUGCUGCAUGAAGUGCCUGAGAUACUUUUGGUAUAUCUGUGAUGGGUCUUACGUAGUGGCACAGAUCCAUGGCUUCCCCAUCUGGGACCAGUACUGCUUUGGCUGGGGAUCCCUAAGGGACCUGUGCGCUGUGGUAGGGCCGUGCCCUCACUAGUCUCAACUCGCUGUCACUGUUGUUUAAGACCUCCUCAUGCAAAAUGACAGGCUCACAUUGCCCCUUCUCUUUCUCCUGGCAGGAUGCUGGCGUGGUAUGACCUAACCCUCCUCAGCUGCUGUCUGCCAAAUUUGAGGGAGCCUGCUGUAAGCUGCUACUAUUGUUUUCCCCUGUGAGAAAAUGCAGUCUCUUUUCGGUAUGGGGAAGUCCUUCAGCUCCUGUAUGACAUCAAUUAUUUUGUUUGGCCUCUUCUGUUUCUUUGUACUUCUACAAAUCUUCAUUUCAUCUGGCAUUACUUUUCAAUAGUGCAGGCUCGCUUUAUCCAGUUUUCUAUUAAAUAUGACAGUUGUACUUGAUUGAUGCCAAAAUACAAUUUGAUAGUGCUAAAUAUGAAUGACUCCACAUGCUUUUUCUAAAGGUGCUUCAUUGCCCAGACAGUUUUCCAGUUGGACGGGGGCAAGUGGUUAUAUACCCAAAUCCAAAUUUCACUACCUGAACUCAGGCUCACUGAGCAUUAUACAGCGCUGCUAGAUUACCAUGUCUAGGAAAAAAAAGUGCAAAAUCACCUCUGUUUCCUAGGAAAAUUAUCAUUAGGAAAUAAGAUUGGUAGCCUUCAGGGAUGCUCUAGGGACUGUAGGUUUACUUUGGGUGCGUUUCCCACUCACCCCUAAUCAAUAAACUAGUUUUUGUCUACUUUGCACUGGGACUAGUCCGUUUUUCUCAGACUGCUAAGACAAACUAUUUUGGCUGAGUUUUCAUUUAUGACAUAUGCAGGAAACUACAAAAGCAUCUUCUAAUUAUUUUGCCAAAUAUUAAUUGCAGAUAUUGUAAUAAUCUCCCUCUGCCGCUGUUUUUUGUCAUGUUCUUGCAUCCAUUAUUUGUAGGUACAGAAUAAGGCAGUCUUCAAUAACCUGAUACAAGAUUUUGAAGAUCUGUAUCAUCCAGUAUCUUGAUUCCAGUACAAAUACAAAGGGUAUUUACAUAUGACAAGCCUCCACAUCGAGUGAUAUUAGCCUCUGAAGUGUAAACCUGUUGAAAAAUCAUAGCAAUUUCUCUGGGUACAAAGUAUGUUUUCCAAGAAUUUACAUAUAAAACCAUUAUUUACAAAUCGAUCUUAAUUUAAAAUAUGUCAUUUUAUCAAAGUAGAAUUUAUGGUAAUUUUUUCUGGUCUUAAUUAUUUCAAUAGAGGGAAAAAUAUCUGAUUAACUUGUUUUGCAGUCUCACUUUCUCAAAGGUUCCAACAUCUUGCCUAACUAAUUAAAAAGGAAUGAAAUAAUGUAGGUUAUCUUUGAAGAAAUUAGUCUAUAUUUAGGUUAACUCUAAAUUACUGUUGUACCAGCUGUCAUGACUUUAUACAGAAAUGCGCAAUAAUUCAUCUUGCUCUUAGGUGGGGCUCUGGCUAUACUUUCAGAAAAUGUUCAUUUUGGAGAUAUACAGCUAAGGUGCCCAAGCAACCUGAUUCCUUUGCCAUAAUUAUGGCUGUGUUUAUAUGGGUUUUAGCGAACAAACAACCUCGUUCUUUUAUACUAUUAGGCAAUAUAAGCCAUGCCACAUUAACAUGGCACCAUUCCUAAAAUAAUAUACACUGCUUCACAGCAGGGCUUAUUAGCUCAGGCUCUGUGAUAUACUAAUGGCAGUUAAAUGGCUUUUAGUUCGCUCGGGCUCGGGGAAGAGCUUGCUCAUGUCUGUUGUAACAUACCGUUUAGCAGUACCUCACGUAAUAAAUAUUAAUUAAUGUAACUGGC